rnacentral:rRNA from 1 species
UACGAGAGGCCCAAACGUUAUUCGGAUUUACUGGGCUUAAAGAGUUCGUAGGCGGCGCAGAAAGUAGGGUGUGAAAGCCCUCGGCUCAACCGAGGAAUUGCGCUCUAAACUACUGUGCUUGAGGGACCUAGAGGUGAGCGGAACUGAUGGUGGAGCGGUGAAAUGCGUUGAUAUCAUCAGGAACACCGGAGGCGAAGGCGGCUCACUGGGGGCCUUCUGACGCUGAGGAACGAAAGCCAGGGGAGCGAACGGG